GAUGAACGCUGGCGGCGUGCCUAAUACAUGCAAGUCGAGCGAACAGACGAGGAGCUUGCUCCUCUGACGUUAGCGGCGGACGGGUGAGUAACACGUGGAUAACCUACCUAUAAGACUGGGAUAACUUCGGGAAACCGGAGCUAAUACCGGAUAACAUGUUGAACCGCAUGGUUCAACAGUGAAAGACGGUCUUGCUGUCACUUAUAGAUGGAUCCGCGCCGCAUUAGCUAGUUGGUAAGGUAACGGCUUACCAAGGCAACGAUGCGUAGCCGACCUGAGAGGGUGAUCGGCCCCACUGGAACUGAGACACGGUCCAGACUCCUACGGGAGGCAGCGGUAGGGAAUCUUCCGCAAUGGGCGAAAGCCGGACGGGGCAACGCCGCGUGAGUGAAGAAGGUCUUCGGAGCGUAAAUCUCUUUUAUAGGGAAGAACAAAUGUGUAAGUAACUAUGCACGUCUUGACGGUACCUAAUCAGAAAGCCACGGCUAACUACGUG
rnacentral:rRNA from 1 species